AGGAGAACAAGACAGAGGAGAGAAGAACGGAAGGAAAAUGGCGAUGGUGCUCGCGGUGAGAGGACAGACUUUUGAAGACGAUAUCGGUAGGUGGUUGCACGGCGAGUAGUUAAGCGAACAAAGUGUGUUUCACAGCGGAGAAAUGGUAUGUUUCACUGAGGACAAAUAUUCAAGGUACAGCGGCAUAUUAAGUCGCACGUACUUCGAUCCGAGAGACCGUUGGAAUGCAAUUCGUUUUUCGAAGCGUAACACUCUACUCGUACCUGCAUACGUAUAACAUACACGAACAUGCACGCGCGCGAACACGUACACACACACACACACACACACACACACACGCACGCAUACGCAAAACAUGUAUACACAGAAUGGACACGAACGAUACUUUGAUUGAGCUAUAUUAUACUAGGCCAUGCGAGAAACGAAGAAAGCUGAACGGACGGAAGAAAGAAGGAAGAGAAAGAAAAGAGAAAAAUAGUCCAUUGGAAACGAGGGCGGCAAUGCGGUGGCGGCUGCCUCUGCCACUCUAGUUGAUCGGGAUUCGUUUUAUUAAUUAAUUAAUUCAGUAAUUAAUUAAUUAAUCGAAAACUCAUUCAUAUAGUGUUGUGCACUGUUUUAGGUGCUUUUCAUUUUUUGGCUGUGUGAAGCUUCAACUGAAGUAAUUUAAAGGGCAGAGGAAGAGGAAGAAGAAAAAAAAUGAUGUAAUUAUCGUAUUGGCUUUGCAUAAUCACUCUCGACAAUUUUUCUGACGCAAGAAAAAUAAACUAAAUAAUGAAUAACAAUAUUAAUAAUAAUAGAAAUAAUAAUAAUAAUAAUAAUAAUAAUGGUAAUGAUAAUGACUUCAUAACUAAAACCGUAAAAUACUAGAUGCGAAAGCCGAAUAAAAAUAUACCUAUGCGCGCAGAGAGAGUUAUUCAGCAAAGAUGAAACCAUGAUUAAUAAUAAUGAAUAAUAAUAAUAAUAAUAAUAAUAAUAACAACAACAAUAAGUAUGAAUUAAUGGAAAAUAAUAAUAAUAACAACAAUAACAACAACAACAACAACAACAUUAAUACUAAUAUGUAAUAAUAACACUAAUACUAAUAAUAGUAAUAAUUAAUGUGUAAUUGAAUAACAAGUAAUAAUAACAAUACUAAUAAUAAUAAUAAAAAUAAUAAUAAUCGAUAAGUAAUGAACGCUACAUCUCCCUCGGUAUGUUAUACAUAUUAUAAUUCCGUAUCUCCGUUUGUACGCAUUUUAACAAAUGAAAACAAGAAUUACUACAGGAUAUAUUUAAACGAGCAAGGAGAAAGAUGUAUAAA
rnacentral:misc_RNA from 1 species